rnacentral:rRNA from 1 species
GACGAACCGUGCGAACGUUGUUCGGAAUCACUGGGCUUAAAGGGCGCGUAGGCGGGCUGUCAAGUCUGGGGUGAAAUCCCACGGCUCAACCGUGGAACUGCCCCGGAUACUGACGGCCUCGAGGGGGGUAGGGGCGUGCGGAACUGUGGGUGGAGCGGUGAAAUGCGUUGAUAUCCACAGGAACUCCGGUGGCGAAGGCGGCACGCUGGACCUCUUCUGACGCUGAGGCGCGAAAGCCAGGGGAGCAAACGGG